UGGCAUCAUAGUUCUGGGACAUGAUGACCUCUGGGGCCUGAUAGAACACAUCACAACAAGGAGAGUAAGAAGAGUUAGAGAGCAAGCUCCUGGCAAAGGACUGUAGCUGGGGAUUGCCAGAGUGAUGCUGGCUCAGAGGUAAGCUCUCACAGUGUUAGGGACCUCUUUCAUCGAGGCAGGGAAGAGUAAAAUGACAGAGGCAAAAAUAUAAACAAUAAAUAACAUCUGAGAGGCUGAUUUCCACAGCUGGACACACCUCAAGUCUUGAAAAAGCCUUCCUGAAAAGGCAAACAUGCAGAUUUGUCUGCACAAAAACUGUUCAUAUGCA